rnacentral:pre_miRNA from 1 species
CAACUACUUCCUCUGUCCCAAAUUUCUUGUCUUAGAUUUGUCUAGAUAUGGAUAUAUCUAAUACUAAAAUGUGACUUGAUACAUCCGUAUCUAGACAAAUCUAAGACAAGAAUUUUGGGACGGAGGGAGUACUUU